rnacentral:rRNA from 1 species
AGGGAAUCUUCCACAAUGGACGCAAGUCUGAUGGAGCAACGCCGCGUGAGUGAAGAAGGUCUUCGGAUCGUAAAGCUCUGUUGUUGGUGAAGAAGGAUAGAGGCAGUAACUGGUCUUUAUUUGACGGUAAUCAACCAGAAAGUCACGGCUAACUACGUGCCAGCAGCCGCGGUAAUACGUAGGUGGCAAGCGUUGUCCGGAUUUAUUGGGCGUAAAGCGAGCGCAGGCGGAAUGAUAAGUCUGAUGUGAAAGCCCACGGCUCAACCGUGGAACUGCAUCGGAAACUGUCAUUCUUGAGUGCAGAAGAGGAGAGUGGAACUCCAUGUGUAGCGGUGGAAUGCGUAGAUAUAUGGAAGAACACCAGUGGCGAAGGCGGCUCUCUGGUCUGCAACUGACGCUGAGGCUCGAAAGCAUGGGUAGCGAACAGGAUUAGAUACCCUGGUAGUCCAUGCCGUAAACGAUGAGCGCUAGGUGUUGGGGACUUUCCGGUCCUCAGUGCCGCAGCAAACGCAUUAAGCGCUCCGCCUGG